rnacentral:rRNA from 1 species
GACAGAGGUGCCAAGCGUUAGGCGGAAUCACUGGGCUUAAAGCGUGUGUAGGCGGAGUGCUAAGUACCUUGUGAAAUCCCACGGCUCAACCGUGGAACUGCUGGGUAUACUGGUUCUCUUGAGCGACCCAGGGGCGAGCGGAACAAACGGUGGAGCGGUGAAAUGCGUAGAUAUAGGGAAGAACACCAAUCAGGCGAAGGCAGUUAACUAUUCUAUUCCUGACAUUGAGGCAUGAAAGCGUGGGGAGCAAAACGG